UCCCGCGCGCGGAGGAGGCCUGCUGAGCAGUGAGCCCGGGACUACCCACCUCGGCUUUGGAGCAGCUACCCCCUCCCCCCAGCCCUGGGCUCCCCACCACCCCUGCAGGGGUCAGCGGGGCGGCGCCCCAGGUCCUUGUCCUCGUGCCGGCCUGAGUGUGAGCUCUGCGUGCACGGCUGGCUCGCAGCGGUGGCUCUUGGUGGCUGUCACCUGCAUUUCCCUCUCCACUGGCGCCGGCCAACUUCUUUCCCUGCGCUUUUUGCCUCAUAUAACUUCUCUGCUAAAACAUGUAUUAUUUAUUUUUAUUAUUUUUAUUUUUGCCUAUUUUCUUUUUCCUGUGUUGUUUCCUUGUUACUGAGUUUUGGGAGUCCUUUGUGUCUUCUGGAUGCCACCACAUUAUCCAACAGGUGAUCUACAAAGGUUUUCCCCCUGUCUGUGGCUUGUCUUUGGUUUUCCUGAGUGUCUUUCAAAGAGCGGAAGAUCCUAAAAGAAGUCAACGAAAGGGCGCAAGCUCCUGAUGCUGAUGAGGUCCACGUGACCCCGUUUUCCUCCUAUGGCUUGUGCAUUUCACAUCUGUCACAUGUAAGAAAUCUUUGCCUGAUUAAGCAGUGCAAACCUCUGGUUUUCUUCUGGAGUUUUUUGGGACGCCCGUAUCUGCCGCUUACCCACUGGCGGCCAGGGUCCGGAAGCAGAUGACCUGCCUUCUGACAGGUCCUCAGGUCAGCGGCAGCCUUUGCCUCUGUCACCCCUCACCUGGGCACCUCCUCCGACAGCAGCACAAGAAGGGCAGCUCAGGACAACGAGAUAUUUUGACAGGAGUGUGUUACUUACUUUAUUACAAUAUAUUGCUAGCCACAUUCUAUUUUUUGUGGUUGUUACUGUUUCUGUGUCUAAUUUACAAGUAAAACUUUAACAUAGGUCUGUCCACACAGGAUGCAGUAGCAUCCUUGGUUUCAGGCAUCCACUGGGGGUGUUGGGAUGUAUCCGCUGGGGAUGGGGGUCCUAACCGUAUUGGGUUUUACAUGUAGGGCAGUGACUGCACUGGAGCGAACUUUUGUCUGUGGGGCAGGAUGUAGGUCAAGGCAGUAGUCUGGAAUUUGGUUGUGUUUCGGGAUUUUUCUUUCUUGGGCUUUUUUGCACACGGCUGUCUAGUUUGCUCUGACACAUUUUUGUUGAAAAGAUGAAUUCCUGUGUGGUUCUGCAGCAGAGUGCUCCCAGUGAGACGCCAUGAGCAGCUUUCCCUGGCACCCUGGAGGCUGGUUUUCCAGAAAAUUCCAGCAGGCAGAUUGCCAGCAAUCUCUGCAGGCACCCGGUGUCCUCAGCCAGGCGGCCAUUGUCCUUGGACCUGGACCAGAAUUGACUUUGUGCUCCGCACGCCCCCCGGGAUGGCCAGAGGGUGCCCUGGAAGGAAAGAAGGAAGCAUCCUGCUCAGGAGCGUCCGGGUAGAAAACUGAACAUCCAAAGAAAGAUCCACGUAGCCCCACCCCCACCCUCUCGCCCGGGUCAUUACCCAGGAAGGGAUCAAACGGACGUGUGCCUCUCUGGGGACGGCCCUGGUGCUCAGGCUGGAAGAGGGCACAGAGACGGAGUCAGAAAUCUCAUAAGUGAACUUUGGAGAAGGCCAUUCCAGGGCUCAGCAACACCACGCGCUGGGCGGACGGACACCUGAGCCCUGGCCCACCAUGGGGUGUCUUUUGUGAUGAAAGGAGCACCUUGUUAGAAUGCAGGUGGAACCCACGGUCCAUCAGCUCCUUGGCUUGGGAAAGCAGCUCAGUGAUGAGGUCAGAGGUGGCUGCAUCGCCCCCAAGGAGGGUCAAAGUCUGAUGGAGUCAUUUGCCAGGAGCUAGGGGCCCAGACAGUGUCUGCCUACUCCCCAACGGUGAGCCAGCCCUGGGCAGGAGCCGGGUCUGGUGUGCAGUGGCCAGUUCUGCAUCAGGACAAAGUCCAGCAUGUUGCCCCCAUCAGCAAUGCCGGCUGUCAUCGCGAUGGAUCCCCGUGGCAACGGCGGUCAGGGCCAACUAGGAGGCGCCGGUGCUUCGGCAGAGUUCUGGGGGGUGAGGUUAGAGAGCAGGCGCGUGCACACACGUCCCCACACAGUCACAGCUGUCAUUUAUUUCAACAGUUCAUGGCCCCUGAAAGGAUUAUCUUUAAUCUGUAAUUUUGCAAAAGAGCAAAAAAAAAAAAAAAUUCCUGUAGUUUUGCAAGGGGCGAACCGUGCUGGUCUCCUAGGGCCGGCUGCUCAGACGGAAGGCUGAGGGCGAAAGGAAUUGAUUCUGCCAGGGUUGUGGGGACCAGAAGGCCGAAACCAAGGCAGGGUGGCCCGCCUGCGGAGGCUCGGGGCAGCGUCCUGCCUGCCUCCCCGGCGUCCUCGGUGCUUCUUGGCCUGUGGCUGCAUCACCGCCGUCUCUCCCUUCAUCGUCCUAUGACGACCCUCCCCGUGUGUCCUUUCUCUGUCUUUGCGUCCUUACAUGGCCUUCAAAGACACUAUUUCCAAAUAGGCCACAUUCUGAGAGAAUAUAAAUCUGGGGGGACAUCACCCAGCUCGCUACACAGAUCCAUAGCUGCACCAUGUACAUCACUGGCCCAAGAGUUAGUGAAGAUGUAACAGGUUUCACCAAGGACCCCAGAUAAAAGUGGCUGAAUCACGAGAAAAGUGUAUUUAGCUUUCGUGUAGGCUCAGCGGGAAGCAUCCAAGGGCUGAGAACCCCUGUUGUCAGGAACUUAAACUCCUUCUGCAUUUUGUGUUGGAGUCCUCAAGACAUGGCUUCUGGCCUGGGGUUGAAAAUGGCUGCUCGAGCUCCAGCCAUCACCUCCACAUUCCAGCACAGAGGAAGAACAAAGCGAAAAGCAUGCUUCUCCCUUUAAGGACCUGUAGACAAUAUAUCAUUUCUGUUCAAGUCCCUUUAAGCUUAGUCACAUGACCUUAUUUGCUGCAAAGAUGGCUGGGAAAUGUAGUCCUCCUCUGGAUAGGCACAGGUCCCAGUAAAACUCCAGGGUGCUGGAGCCCCGUGGUACUGAGCACAAGUAUGUCACAGGAAAAAUGGAGAAAUGAAGACUUAUGCUCCUGGGUCCUGGUAGGACCCAUCCCCCUAUCCUGGGCCCCGGCAACCUUUGGACUGAGGUGAGCCGCAGAGAGAAGAUGGCUGCCUGCCAGCCAGGGGCCGACCCUGAUCCCCAGCGUCCUGCCUCCGAACAGUGACAAGCGCGGGCCUGGGCGUGUGGGCGGCGAGGCUGUUUGCACGCACGUGUGCCAUGGAGCGCGGCUCAGCCCCCCGCCGGCCGCGUGGGCCGAUGUCCUCACGCACACACGCGUGUGGGUCCCGUGGGUGGGGCCACAUCCCCCUUCUCCCCGACCUGCUUCUCUCAGUAGAACCCGAGUCCUCAGCCACACGCUGGGGACCCGCCGCUGUAAGUGAC